UCGUCUGAGUGUAGUAUCGUGUAACAACUAAUUCAAGUCUACAUCUGGUAGCCACCGCACUACGUCCUAAAAGGCCAAGAUAGGCUAAUGGUCCUAAGGUCCUUAGCUUCUCGGGCUCCCAGAUCGAAAAAAGUAAUGCCAAUUUCGACUACUCGUAAGACAUCAGUAAUCCCAAAGGGGCUUCCACUGAGUGGGGGAUCUCAAGUCAGCUCAUUAAG
rnacentral:lncRNA from 1 species